GAUUAAAGGAGUGGGGGCUGAAGUGUGGUAUUGGAGAAGCAGCAAGGAUGGGAAUGGCAGCACUUUUUAACUGGGCUGAGAGGGAUUGUGGGUGACCUAAUAGCUGUCCCCGUACACCAUCAUGGACAUCAUCAAGAAGAGAAGAUCCACACACUUUACAGAGGUGGGAGGAUGACAGACAAUGGACGCUGCUCCAUGGACUUCUGGGAAAUGACAGACUUCUUGGAAAGCAGAAAUUUUGAGGAUAAAGAAACAAUUUUGGAUCAGAAAUGGAGUAUCAAACUGUGUUAUUUAAGUGAAUGGACCUUAGUAUAUAUAGCAAGUCUGUACUAUUUACCAGAAAAUAUAUGGUGUAUCUUACUACCCUAACAGUAGUGACUCGCCACUGUUAAACUGUGAGUUAAAACUGUUAAGGCUUUAUUAAAGAAAAUUGCAAAAACAAAGAAAAUAUAUGGCAAGCCAUUCAUUCUGGAAGUGAAAAGAGAUGCUACUGAAGGUCUGUUUCAUCUGCAAUUUAGCAGAGUGGUCAUUAUUAUGUUUUACUGGUGUGACAGGGCUGCAAAAAAUGGUAGGAGGAGCUACACCUAAGAAAGUACGGAAGUCCAAAGCUUGCUGCUGCUUCUACUAGUCUUGCAUAAAUGAAUUGAACAUAGAUAUUACUUAAAGGAAAAUUAAAGAAAAGGACAGUCAGGAAUGCAAAAUAGAAAUGUAAUUCUGAAGACAGUGGAAUGUGCACUUCACUGGGACUUAAGAGAAAGAACCAGAAUGAAUAAGUCAACAAAUUGUUCUUAGGCAUCUAAUACAGAUUUGCAAAAUACUGUACAAAUAGAAGAAGUUAAGAGGAAAAAAGGCCACAUCCUUCUCUUACAUGAAGGCCUGUUACUUGCUCCAAUGCAAAAAUGUUUAUAAGAUAUCCAUCAAUGUGUGAGGCCAGAUGGUUUCAUUCUAUGUUUUGUGGGCAGCUGUGAGGGAUAAGAUGGUAGACUACGAAAGAAGGCAAAAACUAUUACAUAAUAUUUACCUUGUUCAUUCCAAUGUAGUUUAUGCCAUCAUACCAUUUUAUGAAUCUGUGCAUCAAAAAAAAAUUGAAAACCAUCAUAUAAAGAUUAUUUAAGGCUAGCUACUAUGUGAAAGUUCAGUCACUUCGAAUUACAAGGAAAGAAAAAGCUCUUUCUGUACUCCAGUAGCCUAAGAUUAUAAAAAAAGUAUUUUUUUCUCUUCACAUGGAUAAUAAAAAAAAUUAAACCAUGUAAUAGAGCA
rnacentral:lncRNA from 1 species